rnacentral:rRNA from 1 species
UACAGAGGUCUCAAGCGUUGUUCGGAUUCAUUGGGCGUAAAGGGUGUGUAGGUGGCGCGCUAAGUCGGGUGUGAAAUUUCGGAGCUUAACUCCGAAACUGCAUUCGAUACUGGCGUGCUUGAGGACUGGAGAGGAGACUGGAAUUCAUGGUGUAGCAGUGAAAUGCGUAGAGAUCAUGAGGAAGACUAGUGGCGAAGGCGGGUCUCUGGACAGUUCCUGACACUGAGACACGAAGGCCAGGGGAGCAAACGGG